UUCUUUCCUGUAGUUUAGAUACGAUGAUAAUCACAGUCUAUAAAGUUUUACGUUAACACCGUUAUUUUUUCUGUUGGUGAGAAUCCUAAAAAACAGCCAAGAUGACUGGAAUGACAAUGCCUGAAGCGGUGUCCGUAGCGAACGGACUGAACAAAGGAUGGAAGAAAUAUUUCAAUUUUGAUACAAUCAAGGGCAGAUACGGUGUAUGCAUUGUAUGUAUUGGCAUCUACGUUGCUGUGUUUAAAUUCAGCACAUGGAAAUACAAUCGACCAAACGUUCUAGCAGCACGUCAGGCAGAACAGGACAAGAAAGACUUAUUUGAAAGACAGGUCCAAGCUUGGCUGAAAAAUGGGAGGAAAUUUACUUAAAUGAUUACAACUUUUCGUACUGAAUUUCAUCUGAAUACCAUCCAGUUUCAUUUUUAAUGAAGAAUUGUUAAAAUGCUUAUUACUGAAUUUUUAACAUCGAAAAGAAUUUAAAUGAGAGCACAAGAAUAGUGAUGUUUUGAUUCAACUCAAUCUCUAAUCGCUUAAAUCAUUUAGAGUGAUGGAAAUGAAAUAUUUUUAUUCUUGUUUUGAAUUUGUAUUGAAUAAAUAUGUAAAAAACA